rnacentral:rRNA from 1 species
CGCUAGAAGAAGUAACUUUUAGUAAUACCUGCCCAGUGCGAAAUAUUAAUGUAAACGGCCGCCCUAGCGUGAGGGUGCUAAGGUAGCGAAAUUCCUUGCCUUUUGAUUGUAGGCCUGCAUGAAUGGUUUAACGAGGGUUUAGCUGUCUCUAAAUUUUUAAUUGAAAUUGUAUUGAAGGUGAAGAUACCUUCAUUUAAAAGUUAGACAAAAAGACCCCGUGCAACUUUGAAAAUUAACUUUAUUCAGGGGUAAAAGAUUUUUAGGUGGGGCGCCUAGAAAGUAAGCCUAACCUUUCUGAGUAGGAGUUUCUUUCAGGAGUUGACCCGAUUAUAUUCGAUCAUAGGAGAAGUUACGCCGGGGAUAACAGGCUAAUCCUUUAGUAGAGCUCGUAUUGGCUAAAGGGAUUGGCACCUCGAUGUUGAAUCAGGGAUGAUAGCUUCAAGGCGUAGAGGCUUUGAGAGUAGGUC